rnacentral:rRNA from 1 species
GACGAACGCUGGCGGCGUGCCUAAUACAUGCAAGUCGAACGAGAGCAACCUGUUCUUGUUCUGUUCAAUCUUGUGGCUAACGGGUGAGUAACACGUGGGUAACCUUCUCAUCAUUGGGGGAUAAUAUCCGGAAUCGGAUUCUUAAACCGCAUAGUUCUUCGAACCGCAUGGUUUGUUGAGGAAUAGAGGCGCUAGCGUCUGCUUUCGGAUGUUCCCGCGUUGCAGUAGCGAGUUGGUGGGGUAACGGCUUACCAAGGUCGCGAUUGAUAGCGGAACUGAGAGGGGGAUCGGCGACAUUGGAACUGGAACACGGACCAAACUCCUACGGGAGGCAGCAGUAGGGAAUGUUCCGCAAUGGACGCAAGUCUGACGCAGCAACGCCGCGUGAGUGAAGAAGGUGUUCGGAUCGUAAAGCUCUGUUGUUGGGGAAGAACAGGUGCUAGAGUAAAUGUUGGCGGAUUGACGGUAACUAAACAGAAAGCAACGGCUAACUACGUG